rnacentral:lncRNA from 1 species
AUUUACAUAAUUUAUGCUCUAAAUACCAAAUAAAAGAACCAAAAUAAGUUUCCAAAGGUCACUAAUGUCUAACAAAGGUGCCUCUAAAUAUUUAGAAGUUAUUAUCAACCAAAACCAAUCUUAAAAGCCACUAUCAAAAGGAAAUUAAAGUUAUACAAAUUCUAUAGUAAUCUUUUUAAACAACCUCUUCUCAAGGUAAUAAUCAAAUUAUAUUCUACAACCAACUAAAAUCUAUUAACAUGGCUCUCACCAUGUUACUUAGUAAAUUAUAUAUUAAGUACAUAAUUACAUUAUUUUCAUAUAAUAGCCGAACCACAACAUGACAACGUAAAGUCUUACUUGAGAAUGCUCUGGGCACCUGACUGUGGAAGGUAGAAUAGAAAUUACAAUAACAAAAUCCAAACUCUAAUAAAAUACUAACUAAAAUCUAAUUAGACCAUAACAAUACUAAGCAAGCUUUAAUCAAAUUCAAAGAAAUCUCAAAGAAAUUACAAAGAAACAAUAAGAAAUCUUAAAAAAAUAUUAGAAUGAUCACAAAUAUAUUUCAAAUAUAUCUCAAUUCAAUCUUAAUUUAAUCCUAAUUAAAAUCCUAUUAGACUUCAUUCAAACUUUAAGCAAAAAAUUAAUUAAAUCUUAAAUCCUAAAAAAAUCCUAAAAAAAUCCUAAAUCCUUAACCAAAUCCUAAUCAAAUCCUAAACCAAACCUAAAUCAAAUCCUAAUCAAAUCCUAAACCAUAAAUAAAAUCCCAAUCAAAUCCUAAAUCAAAUCCUAAUUAAAUCCUAAAUCCUAAAUCAAAUCCUAAUCAAAUUCUAAAUCCUAAAUCAAACCUUAAUUAAAUCCUAAAUCAAAUCUUAAAUCCUAAAUCAAAUCCUAACCAAAUCCUAAAUCAAAUCCUAAUCAAAUCCUAAAUCCUAAAUCAAACCCUUGAAAUUCCUACAACAAAUUUUAACUUCAAUUGCUAAUGAAUGAACUAUUGAUCUUAACUUAAAAUUUUCACACUUCUUAAAAAUUAAGUUGGAAACAAGCACAAAAAAUUUGAAAAGGAU